GACGGUCGGAUGGCUGCUCUUCGCAUCGGGGAAACCCGCGAAGGGAGGAAAGUCCGGGCUCCACGGAGACACGGUGCCGGGUAACGCCCGGCGGGGGCGACCCCAGGGAAAGUGCCACAGAAAGCAAACCGCCAGUUCGUCUUAGGGCGAUGCGGGUAAGGGUGAAAGGGUGCGGUAAGAGCGCACCGCGCCGCCGGUAACGGUGGUGGCAGGGCAAACCACACCGGGAGCAAGACCGAAUAGGGGCAACAUUUGGAUUUCGGUCCAAAGGCAUGUUUCCGUGUCGUUGCCCGGGUGGGUCGCGUGAGGCGUUCGGCAACGAACGUCCCAGAUGAAUAGCCAUCUACCGCGCAUGCGGGGACAGAACCCGGCUUACAGACCGUCUGG
rnacentral:RNase_P_RNA from 1 species